rnacentral:tRNA from 1 species
GGUUUGUGGCUCAGUGGUAGAGCACUUGCCUAGCAUGUGUGAGGCACGGGGUUCGAUUCUCAGCACCG